rnacentral:rRNA from 1 species
UAGGGAAUCUUCGGCAAUGGACGAAAGUCUGACCGAGCAACGCCGCGUGAGUGAAGAAGGUUUUCGGAUCGUAAAACUCUGUUGUUAGAGAAGAACAAGGACGGUAGUAACUGAACGUCCCCUGACGGUAUCUAACCAGAAAGCCACGGCUAACUACGUGCCAGCAGCCGCGGUAAUACGGAGGUGGCAAGCGUUGUUCGGAAUUAUUGGGCGUAAAGAGAGCGCAGGCGGUUUCUUAAGUCGGAUGUGAAAGCCCCCGGCUCAACCGGGGAGGGUCAUUGGAAACUGAGAGACUUGAGUGCAGAAGAGGAGAGUGGAAUUCCAUGUGUAGCGGUGAAAUGCGUAGAUAUAGGGAGGAACACCGGUGGCGAAGGCGGCUCUCUGGUCUGUAACUGACGCUGAGGCGCGAAAGCGUGGGGAGCAAACAGG